UCACCAUGCCCUGUGGAGGGAUUAUUGCAGGGGAGGACGUAGGGCGUGUCUCGGGCAUGAGGCGGGGCGGCUGACUCAACUCUGAAGACAGAGAGGUGGGUGUUCCCAGAUGUGGUGCCGCUGAGCCCCUGCUGCCUAGCGUGUGGUCCUCGGACCAGCAGCAUCAGCAUUGCUGGCAGCCGGGGUCAUGGUCCAUGAUCCAUUCAAACCCCGCUCGCGAAUCCCCACGGAGCACCGGGAGCAUCACACGCAGGUGGAUUAGAAUCGCCGUCAGCGUCUACGUGUCAGCUUCGCAGUCACCGCCCGAGGCCUCGUACCAGCGCUCAGCACCAGUCCCCCACGAGCUGAGCUGGCCACAGCCAAGAGCCCCGCCAGACACGGGGGAUUUGCUGGAGUGGGUGAAAGGGUCCGGGUCCCGCCCAAGGUGAGCAGACUCCCGGGAACAGCGAGCUGUGUGGAGUCUGGACGUCAGUCCCCAGCCAGGAGGGAGAGGCAGGAGCUUGUUGUUUUCAGGGUGGGCCCUAAAUCCAAUGACUGAAGUCCUUAUAAGAGGAGGAGACGGAGGCUUGAGACACAAAGGGACACAGAGAAAAGAAGGCCAUGUGGAGACAGAGGCAGAGACUGGAGUGAUGUGUCUACAAGCCAAGGAAGGUCAAGGAUCACUGGCAGCCACCAGAAGCCGAGAGAGAGGCUGGAACAGAUGCUCCCGCAGAGUGUCUGGAGGGAACCAGCCCUGCCAGCACCUUGAUCUCAGACUCCUGGCCUCCAGAACCAGGAGAGAAUAAAUUUGUGUUGUUUCAAGGCCC
rnacentral:lncRNA from 1 species